GCUGGCGGCGUGCCUAACACAUGCAAGUCGAACGAGGUAGCAAUACCUAGUGGCAGACGGGUGAGUAACACGUGGUCAACCUACCGUUGAGUGGGGGAUAACUAACCGAAAGGUUAGCUAAUACCGCAUACGUUGCUCCGGGGCAUCCUGGAGUGAUAAAAGGAGUAAUCCGCUCGAUGACGGGACCGCGUCCCAUUAGCUAGAUGGUGGGGUAACGGCCUACCAUGGCUUCGAUGGGUAGCUGGUUUGAGAGAGCGACCAGCCACACUGGGACUGAGAGACGGCCCAGACUCCUACGGGAGGCAGCAGUGAGGAAUUUUCCGCAAUGGGCGCAAGCCUGACGGAGCGACGCCGCGUGUGGGAAGAAGGCCUUAGGGUCGUAAACCACUGUCGAAGGGGACGAUAAUGACGGUACCCUUGGAGGAAGCCCCGGCUAACUACGUGCCAGCAGCCGCGGUAAGACGUAGGGGGCAAGCGUUAUUCGGAAUUAUUGGGCGUAAAGCGCUCGUAGGCGGAUCGGACAGUCGGUGAAGAAAGACCUGGGCUCAACUCAGGGAACGGCACCGAUACUAUCGGUCUUGAGGCAAUCAGAGGGUGAUGGAAUUCCCG
rnacentral:rRNA from 1 species